GGCGGCAUAGCUCAGUUGGUUAGAGCAGCGGAAUCAUAAUCCGCGUGUCGGGGGUUCGAAUCCCUCUGCCGCUA
rnacentral:tRNA from 1 species